rnacentral:RNase_MRP_RNA from 11 species
GCGGCUUCGCAGCAAACACACAGGGAGCCCGUUCCCGUCGAUGUUGUGAGAAGGUCCUCGUGCGGUGUGCCAGCGAGUGUCAUUGGGAGACUGAAGGUCACUGGUCCUGAGCGUGCAGUGAAGCCCAGAACUGACUUGCAGUUCUAGCUGGGUGAGUGGCCGUUGCAGCAGCACAGCCAUGCCGCGAUCGAUCGUCUGUGAGCGAGAACUGGACGGGGCUUGCUCUU